CUGGGUUAGGGCACAAGAGAAAGUUCCGAGCACAGAGAACUGCAUAUGUGAAGGUGUGGCCUCAUGAAACCACAGCACACUGUUAGGAGCUACCAGCCUGUCACAAGUGGGUGUGAAGGUUGCCUAGAGGAGACUACCAGGAGAUAACACUGAAGGGGUGGAUUAGGAAAGCCCUUGUGCACCAUCUUGAACUUUACCUUGAAUGCAAUGGAGAGCUGUGAAAGGGCUUUAAGCAAGGCCCAGGCCUCACUGAAUCUGUGGUUUAGAAAGAACUCUCUGGUUACAAGAUGGAGCAUGGAUGCAAGCGAGUGAAGGUGAGAGAUGAUGCAGUGGGUCCCCAUCAGUGUUGGAUAUGAUUCCUCAGCCUAAAGAACCAACCUCACCUCAUCAUUUUCCAUCAAGCUGCUAUGAUUUGCUUUCUUAAUAGCAC
rnacentral:lncRNA from 1 species